rnacentral:rRNA from 1 species
UACGUAGGGCGCAAGCGUUGUCCGGAAUUAUUGGGCGUAAAGGGCUCGUAGGCGGUUCGUCACGUCGGGAGUGAAAACUCGGGGCUUAACCCCGAGCCUGCUUCCGAUACGGGCAGACUAGAGGUAGGCAGGGGAGAGCGGAACUCCUGGUGUAGCGGUGGAAUGCGCAGAUAUCAGGAAGAACACCGGUGGCGAAGGCGGUUCUCUGGGCCUUACCUGACGCUGAGGAGCGAAAGCGUGGGGAGCAAACAGG